rnacentral:rRNA from 1 species
UUGACGGGAAACGCACAAUCAGCGUGCCAUGUGGUUUAAUUGGAUACGAAACCUUGAACCUUACCUAGAUUUGACAUGUAACUGCAAACCUCUGGAAACAGAGGAAUCCUUCGAGGGUGUUACACAGCUGCUGCAUGGUUGUCGUCAGUUCGUGUCGUGGGGCGUCGGCUUAAGUGCCGUAACGAACGCAACCCCUGUGCUAUGUUAAAUAUCCAUAGCAGACUGCCUUGGAUUUUUCCAAGGGGGAAGGAGGGGAUGACGUCAAAUCAGCAUGGCGCUUAUAUCUAGGGCUACACACAUGGCGUAAUGGGUGGGACAACGGGAUGCCAAGGCGCGAGCCGGAGCUAAUCCUUAUAAACCCAUCCUCAGUUUGGAUUGCAGGCUGCAAUUCGCCUGCAUGAAAGGGAGUUGAUAGUAAUCGCGGAUCAGCAACACCGCGGUGAAUACGUUCUCGUUUCUU